rnacentral:sRNA from 1 species
GCCGGGCGUGAUGGCGCACACCUGUAAUCCCAGCAGCUAGGGAGGCUGAGAUAGGAGAAUUGCAAGUUCAAAGCCAGCUUCAGCCACUUAGGAGGCACUAAGCAACUCAGUGAGACCCUGUCUCUA